CCAAUAGCGUAUAUUAAAGUUGUUGCAGUUAAAAAGCUCGUAGUUGAAUUUCGGGAUUGACGUGACGGUCGUGCCUUAAGGGGCGUGAACUGUCGCCGUUGAUUUCUCACCUUCUGGAGAAGCUCGAUGUCCUUAAUUGGAUGUCUUGUGGAACCAGGACCUUUACCUUGAAAAAAUUAGAGUGUUUAAAGCAGGCAUUU
rnacentral:rRNA from 1 species